UGCCGCAAUGAUGACAGAUAUUUGCUACUCUUGACCCAAGAGAAUGAUGAAUACUUAUACCACCAUAAAUUCCUGCUGAGGCA